rnacentral:lncRNA from 1 species
GCUGAAGCUGAGCGCAAGAGGAAACAAGAGGUAAGUGAUUGAUUAUAUGUUUCAAAUAUAAGUUGAUACUUAUACAUCAUUGUGAAUGUGUGUUUAAGAUUAUGUAUUGCUACAGCUUCUGCAAAGAAAGCAAUCUGCAAAGGUUCAAAAGGGGACAGAAAAAUCAAGCUCAAGCACAACCUGGUGAAUAAGCAUCAAUGACAAGAAUUGAGAAUUUGAGUAUAAAUGUGAAAUAAAUAAUGUGUCUGUACUCAGAAAUUCUGCUUUUGUUGUACAUUUAGAUACAUGACAAUUAAAAUAAUGCAUUCAUGUGAAUGCCGAUAUUAUUAUGCUGCAUACAUAGUUCAUAAAUAUUUCAAGGAUUAUUGUUGAGUUUGUACCUUAAAAUCGCUGUUAUUUUAGAUUCUACCAGGGGCUGUCUUAAGUAAUUAGGAUUACCUGUUAGCAUAUUUGAAUUCUGCUGUUGUUUUUUCGAUCUUCAAGUUUCUGUCGAGUGCAAUUCGAAUUCUGCUAAAGCCCGGUCCUCGUAAUUUGAAUUACGCAGGUAAAAUGUCUAUAAAAAUAGAUUUUUAUCUCGUUAUUCGCUUGUACCAAAAGAGGAUAUUCUUAGGAAACUUAAAGGCUAAGGUUGGUGUCUUUCGGGAGAGGGAAAACAGAGAACAUCAGGGCUCUUGUGUUGAAUGUUUCUUGUGAGGUUCUUUGGGUGCGAGACAAAAUCAACAGGGGAACUUAAAAGGGGCUUUUCGGUUGAGGGCUUUGUGGUGAGAUUUUGUGGAACACCCUAUAUUAUAGUCUAGAACAUAAUUAAUACAAAGUGUCUUAUAAUAGUACUAGAUAGUCAUAAGAAAUCUGUCCAAAGGUACAUAAACAGUCUUAUACACUUAACUUAUAGUCACAUACAAGGUACAAGAAUGUAGAUACAAGCAAAAUGGUCUUAGCUUAUGUUGUGUAUGUCAGAAUCACGUCGACCCACCGUGAUUUUUCAAAAACUACACUUUGUAGCUUCUACAAAAUCACGGUGAUUCAGACAUACCUCUUGUGAUACCAAACACACUCUUAGUUACCAACACUGCAAAUAAAACAUAUAUAAAUUCCCAAAAGUUAAAACAUCUUCAAAUUUUCUUGUCCUUACUAUUGCCUUCCCAUUCAUCCGUAAAACAAAAUUAUAAAAGGUGAUUCGUAAUACAAUCUCUGGACAUAACUCAAGUUUACAUAUACAUAUAUAAAUUUAUGUCUUUUUCGUGCAUGCUGAAAUUAUGUUGCAUAUGAACCAAGAACAUCCAACUCCUUAUCUCUCAACUCAAACCAGUUUAAAUGUUAGUAUUAGUACCACCACAAUGCAUCAUGAAUUAGGGAUUCAAUUUCACUAGUUUGAUAUCAUUCUACUCAAUCUAUCCUAUACGCAUAACCUAAUUCCUAAUAACGAACCAUAGCUUACUAAAGAACUCACCAUAAAUUUGAAGAGGGCGCUGAUUGCAUGCAACUUCUUCUCUUCACUUCCUUGCACUCUAUCUUAUGUUAUGCUCGUAGAGAGAGUAGGAGAGUUGAAGAAAAUGCGUUAUUUGACCUUUGGGUUCACAAUUACCCUUAAAUAGAG